UGCAGCUUUGUCAAAUUCAGUGUGUCACCUUUAGUUGACCCUACUGGCCAAAAUAGCUGGAACAUAAAAUGUAGCUCAUGGGCCUUGCCGCUCUUCAUCUGUGACAGUGAGGAUAAAAAUGUGUUAUUGACGAGA
rnacentral:snoRNA from 1 species